GAUACUAGAGGAUUAAGUUAUGAUUAAAAUGGCUAUAAAGAUAGUUUAGUGUUGGAGUUUAAUUAUUUGUUCUUUAUGAAUAGGUGAAAUUUUUAUUUAGGGUUAAUUUAUUAGUAAUAAUGUUGUAUUGAAGCUAUUAUUUUUUUGGGAGAAACUGGGAUUAGAUACCCCAUUAUUCUUAAGUGUAAAUUAUUUAAUUGCCGGAGUACUACGAGUAGAUUACUUAAAACUUAAAAAACUUGGCGGUGUUUUAAAUUUUUUAGGGGAAUUUGUCUCGUGAUCGAUAAUCCGCGUUAUAUCUGUCUUAAGUUUGUGUUCUGCUUGUAUACCGUCGUUUAGUUAACUUUUAGAGAAAAUAGGAGUUGGCGACAUAGAUUUUAAUGAAUCUAAAUAUCAGAUCAAGGUGCAGUUUAUGUUUAAGUGAGGAUGAAUUACAGUUAUUAAAUUUAUAACGGAUGAUUGUUUGAAAUAAGGGUUUGAAGUUGGACUUAAAAGUAAGAUUAAUAUAUAAAAAUAUACUGAAUUUUAUUUAAAACGUGC
rnacentral:rRNA from 1 species